rnacentral:rRNA from 1 species
GAUGAACGCUGGCGGCGUGCCUAAUACAUGCAAGUAGAACGCUGAAGGAAGGAGCUUGCUCUUUCCGGGUGAGUUGCGAACGGGUGAGUAACGCGUAGGUAACCUGCCUGGUAGCGGGGGAUAACUAUUGGAAACGAUAGCUAAUACCGCAUAACAGUAGAUGUUGCAUGAUAUCUACUUAAAAGGUGCAAUUGCACCACUACCAGAUGGACCUGCGUUGUAUUAGCUAGUUGGUGAGGUAACGGCUCACCAAGGCGACGAUACAUAGCCGACCUGAGAGGGUGAUCGGCCACACUGGGACUGAGACACGGCCCAGACUCCUACGGGAGGCAGCAGUAGGGAAUCUUCGGCAAUGGACGGAAGGCUGACCGAGCAACGCCGCGUGAGUGAAGAAGGGUUUCGGAUCGGAAAGCUCUGUUGUAAGAGAAGAACGAGUGUGAGAGUGGAAAGUUCACACUGUGACGGUAUCUUACCAGAAAGGGACGGCUAACUACGUG